GUGAAAGAGAUCUUUGGUUUUGCCUUUGCUGGUGACCUGCUGCAGAAAACCCUCUCCCUCUAUCAUUAUCAAGCAAUUCUGUCUAUCCUAUCACUCUCCCAACUCUAUCUAAUUUGACAGCCAUUCUAUCUUGUAUCACUCUAUCCCAACUGCUCUAUCUAAUUUGACAGCCAUUCUAUCUUGUAUCAGUCUAUCCCAAGCACUCUAUCUCGUUUUGAGAAAUCCAAGUUUUGAGAAAUCCAAGUUUUACCUGAUCCCUGUUUUUGGCAAUUGAAGUUACCAGAACUUUGUCAAUCUGUAUUCAGAAUUCUGAGAGAUCUCUGCUCUCACUGCUCCUUCUUUCCUGUCAUUAAACUCUCUCCAUUCAUUUUGCUGGAAAAUAACAAUUAGAAAGUUGAAUAUACAGUAGUAGAAUUGCAGUACAGUAGAACUUAUAGUAGAAACUACUUAUACAGCCCUACAUUUGUAGUUUUAACUUGGCAUUACACUUUGGAAUAAACACUGAUAGUUUGGCUUACUGGUGCAAUUACUUUGAUACAUUGUAUAAAAUAUACACCUUUUAUAAGGUUUAUUUGUAAUAAGAUAAUCUGACUAUUCUGUAAUAUAUUCAGAGUGCUAUAUUCACAUAAAUAUUAAAUUUGAUUCAAAUACA